rnacentral:rRNA from 1 species
AGGCGGGCUGGACCUCUCGGGGUUACAGCCUUGCUGAAUUAUUCACCCUUGUCUUUUGCGUACUUCUUGUUUCCUUGGUGGGUUCGCCCACCACUAGGACAAACAUAAACCUUUUGUAAUUGCAAUCAGCGUCAGUAACAAAUUAAUAAUUACAACUUUCAACAACGGAUCUCUUGGUUCUGGCAUCGAUGAAGAACGCAGCGAAAUGCGAUAAGUAGUGUGAAUUGCAGAAUUCAGUGAAUCAUCGAAUCUUUGAACGCACAUUGCGCCCUUUGGUAUUCCAAAGGGCAUGCCUGUUCGAGCGUCAUUUGUACCCUCAAGCUUUGCUUGGUGUUGGGCGUCUUGUCUCUAGCUUUGCUGGAGACUCGCCUUAAAGUAAUUGGCAGCCGGCCUACUGGUUUCGGAGCGCAGCACAAGUCGCACUCUCUAUCAGCAAAGGUCUAGCAUCCAUUAAGCCUUUUUUCAACUUUUGACCUCGGAUCAGGUAGGGAUACCCGCUGAACUUAAGCAUAUCAA